UACGAAGGGGGCUAGCGUUGUUCGGAAUCACUGGGCGUAAAGCGCACGUAGGUGGACUUUCAAGUCAGGGGUGAAAUCCCGGGGCUCAACCUCGGAACUGCCUUUGAUACUGUUGGUCUUGAGUCCGGAAGAGGUGAGUGGAAUUCCUAGUGUAGAGGUGAAAUUCGUAGAUAUUAGGAAGAACACCAGUGGCGAAGGCGGCUCACUGGCCCGGUACUGACGCUGAGGUGCGAAAGCGUGGGGAGCAAACAGG
rnacentral:rRNA from 1 species